rnacentral:rRNA from 1 species
CGCGUAGGCGGUUUUUUAAGUGAGGCGUGAAAGCCCUGGGCUUAACCCAGGAGGUGCGUUUCAUACUGGAAGACUUGAGUACGAGAGAGGAAAGCGGAAUUCCUAGUGUAGAGGUGAAAUUCGUAGAUAUUAGGAAGAACACCAGUGGCGAAGGCGGCUUUCUGGCUCGUAACUGACGCUGAGGCGCGAAAGCGUGGGGAGCAAACAGGAUUAGAUACCCUGGUAGUCCACGCUGUAAACGAUGAGUGCUAGACGUUGGGGAGUAAUCUUCAGUGUCGCAGCUAACGCAUUAAGCACUCCGCCUGGGGAGUACGGUCGCAAGAUUAAA